AUGGCUAACUUCUCUAAAAAGUUCCAAGGAGAUGUGUUUGGCAGAAUGUGGCCAACUGCUAGGGCAUAUAGGCCACAAGUUUUUAACUACCACAUGAAUAAAAUCCUAGCAGAAGCACCUGAUGUGCAUGAAUAUCUCUCAAGAUACCACAGCUUAAAAUGGAUGAGAUGCAUGUUUGACCCCUCCAUUAAAUGUGAUUACAUCAACAAUAACCUUGCCGAGUCUUUUAAUGGUUGGAUUAAAGAUUACAAAGAUUUGCCACCUGAUGAGCUAGCUGACACUCUUAGAGAGCUAGUCAUGAAACUUCAUGAGAAAAGGAUAAAGAUUGGAAUGAAACUGAAAGGAAAAAUUAUUCCAGCCAUCAUCCAACAAAUUCAUAAUAGGACAAGGGGACUUAAACAUUUGAAAGUUGGGAAAUCUGGAGUUGCAAGUUAUGAGGUGAGGGACACAAGUAAAUACAACUUGCGACAUGUUGUGAAAACUGACCAAAGCGAGUGCACGUGCUUGGAGUGGCAGCACACAGGGAAGCCUUGUGAGCAUGCACUUGCUUUCUUGCUAGAUAGAAGGAACCCCAGAUGGGAGGAUUAUGUGCAUGACUAUUUCUCUCUGGAGAAGUUUCGGGCAACAUAUGCUGGAGAGAUUGAGCCAUUGACAGAUAGGUCUCAAUGGCCACAUGUACAAUUUCCAUUUGACAUGGAGGCUCCAUUAGACAAGAAAAGAGGGGUUGGAAGGCCUAGAAAGAACAGGUACAAGAGCUUCCUCGAAGGUGGAGAUGGUGGUCCUAAAAAGAAGAAAGAGCCAAAACAGCUAGGCAGCAAGAAUAGAUGCAAAAGAUGCCACAUUUUAGGCCAUAGGCAGUCCACAUGUCCGUUGAAUGGACCAAAGCCAAGGAAAAGAAAGAAGAGAGCAACAAGGUAUCCAGCUGAUGAUGAUGCCUCGGCACCAGAACCUGAAGUGGCAGCCCCACGACUUGAAGUUGUUGUGACUACCAAUAGGGACAUGAUCACUAUGCCACUUAGUCUUCAAGGCAGUCCCAAUCCAGUGACAAGAAGGAUGUUGGCUACGGCGUUGGCUGAUGAGGCAACACAUGCAGCACCACAACUUGAAGUUGUUGUGACUCCUAAUAGGCACAUGAUCACUAUGCCACCGAAUCUUCAAGGCAGUCCCAAUCCCGUGACUAGAAGGAUGUUGGCUAUGGCAUUGGCUGAUGAGGCAUGGCAGCAACCUACCCCAACUGUGAAGGACACCACGAUGGCAUAUGACAUGGCCUCAACCUCGAAAGCUAGGAAGUUGACCCCGAAGAGAAGGAAGAUCUAG
rnacentral:rRNA from 1 species